GUGAGUAACACGUGGGGCAACCUGCCUAUAAGACUGGGAUAACUUCGGGAAACCGGAGCUAAUACCGGAUACGUUCUUUUCUCGCAUGAGAGAAGAUGGAAAGACGGUUUACGCUGUCACUUAUAGAUGGGCCCGCGGCGCAUUAGCUAGUUGGUGAGGUAAUGGCUCACCAAGGCGACGAUGCGUAGCCGACCUGAGAGGGUGAUCGGCCACACUGGGACUGAGACACGGCCCAGACUCCUACGGGAGGCAGCAGUAGGGAAUCUUCCGCAAUGGACGAAAGUCUGACGGAGCAACGCCGCGUGAACGAAGAAGGCCUUCGGGUCGUAAAGUUCUGUUGUUAGGGAAGAACAAGUACCAGAGUAACUGCUGGUACCUUGACGGUACCUAACCAGAAAGCCACGGCUAACUACGUGCCAGCAGCCGCGGUAAUACGUAGGUGGCAAGCGUUGUCCGGAAUUAUUGGGCGUAAAGCGCGCGCAGGUGGUUCCUUAAGUCUGAUGUGAAAGCCCACGGCUCAACCGUGGAGGGUCAUUGGAAACUGGGGAACUUGAGUGCAGAAGAGGAAAGUGGAAUUCCAAGUGUAGCGAGGGGG
rnacentral:rRNA from 1 species